AUGUCCAUUGAAGGCCUGGUGUUAAUUUUGUGUGAAAUACGCCACAAAAUAUUGAUUCCUUUCACCAGUUCAUCUGCCAGGCUGUUAGCAGGAAAAACUGCUUCCCUCCAGAAAUGGUUUGAAAGAUCCUGGUGGAGUUGUAACAGUAAGCAACAGGUGGAUCUCCAUGGCAGAGUGGAAAAAGUGAAAAAAACCAAAUGCAGUAAGCUGGACAUCUGUAUUGUUGUUUACCUAAAGCCAUACUGACUCAAAAAGAAAGGCACUACCAAGCCAAGGGUCACUUUGUAGUCACACUAACCAGCUGUGGGCACAUCUGCAAGCCCUCCUGCCACUUCCUUCUUCAGAGAUAGACCCAGCAGGUGUCUUUCUCACAGUGUAU
rnacentral:lncRNA from 1 species